rnacentral:rRNA from 1 species
UACGUAGGGGGCAAGCGUUGUCCGGAAUUAUUGGGCGUAAAGCGCGUGUAGGCGGCCAGAUAAGUCCGCUGUGAAAUCUCGAGGCUCAACUUCGAGCUGUCGGUGGAAACUGUCUGGCUAGAGUCCGGAAGAGGAGAAUGGAAUUCCUGGUGUAGCGGUGAAAUGCGUAGAGCUCGGGAAGAACAUCGGUGGCGAAAGCGCUCUACUGGACUGCAACUGACACUCAGGGACGAAAGCUAGGGGAGCGAAUGGG